CGCCAAUUUCCGUUUCCCUUUCCCUGUUUCAGAAUUCACUCAUUCAAUUCCCAAAACCCUAAAACUAAGCCCUAUCCACCCCACCUGGCCACCCACGACGGAGAACGCCGGUCACACCAACCAUGCAACCACCAACUGAUGCACGCCUGCCGCCUGCCGCCUGCCGAUCACUGCUGUCUGCUGCUGGAAAGGUCAAAACUCAAACCCUAAAAUCGCAAAUCGCAACUGCAUGGCCAGUGGAUGUGUAGGAUUAGCAGACACGUAUGGCUUUGGCCAUUGUCUGUCGCUGGCCAUCGUUAGCUGCUGGCCAUCGUCUACUGGCCAUGGUUAGCUGCUGCAAAGGUCGAAAUCCAUUGAUUCAAACAAGAAGCACUCGAGUGCCUCUGAUCCAGUAACCUUGUGGUGCUCAAUUAGCAUCCAACCCAAGUGAGUGUCUGGUAUUUGUGUUGAUUAAUAAUCAUAAGAUACUGUUCAUGUAGUCGACAAAUCAAAUUGCCAUCGUUGGACUUAUUUGAAGACAUCUUCAGUGUGUGGUACCUCCUAUCAUCUUCUACUUGUGCCUUCAAUUUCUUGUAUCAUUAACAAAAGAAAGGCUCUAAAGGCUGGUUGAAGCAGUUUUGUCAGCUUGGUGGAAGCAGGAUUUAAUCAAAGUGAAAGGUAUAUAGAGGUUAUUUAUGUGGAAGGUGGAAGCAUGAUUUAAUCAAAAUAGCAUCAUGUUUUGUUGUCUGCCAUGAAAAUGCCAAUAUUUAUGUUGGAACAUAUAACUUUAGAAGUCUAAAAUGAAGUUGUAUGCUGGAAUAUAGAAGUUUAAAUUUGUAUAUCAUUAUUGGUUGUCUUGAUUGCUUCUAGGACAGAUAUAGGGAAUGGAUUGCUGUAAAGUUUACCUACCCAAAGCCUACAAUAGAUGAUUGGGAGGAUGCAUAUAAUCGAUGGACUGGAUGAUGCAUAUGAAGCACACGAUUAAUGGCCAUUUGAGUUGCGCCGUGCAUGAGUCAUUACAAAAGUAGAUUAUUUACAGGUGUAAGUGGCAAUUUUUGAUGGCAGUAUUGCUGUGUUUGGGAUUAAUUUUGCUCAAUUGAGAUUUAUUGAUACUUGAUCAAUUAGACCCUAUGUUUGCAUGCUCUACAACUGCUGUGUGCAAGGUAUUUUAGCUGUUGUCGGGUUGCUGCUGUUGGCUUGUUGCUGUCAGGUUGCAACUGCUACUGUCUGGUUGCGUUUCCAACACCUAUACCAGUUGUAGAGCAUUGUUGUGUUUAUUGUGGGCUGUCUGGUUGCGUUUGCUACUGCUCAUAUUGAGUGUUGAAUAGUUCAGCUUCGGGUUGGCUGCUGCUACUAAUUUCGACUGCGCUAAAGAUGCUGAUGGCCAGUGUAGCUGUGUGCCGAGUGCUGCUGGCUGACGUUGCCGUUCUGGUGGCUGGUGUAGCUGUCGAGUGUUGCUGGCUGGUGUAGCUUCCGAGAGCUGUUGUGCUACUGCCUAUACAUGGUUGUGCAGCCGCUGACUAAUGCGAUCUUGUAGCUGCGUUUGCUGGCCAGCUUGAUACUGCUCUAUUUUGAAAUUGUAUUGACGAAUACUUGGUCUAAUUUUGUAAUGAAGUCUAUUAGAUUGCCAUCUCGUGAUGUAUAGGCUAGGAAAUGGCUUUAUCUUUUGAGGUGCUUUGGCUUUCCGAGAGUGUGAUGAGGGGCUUGAUUGUGCUAUGGCCCCUUUUGUUUUUUACACUAAGCUGUAUAGCUUCGGAAUUUUCCGACAUUUUAUAAAAUUUACUGUCAAUAAUAAUAAUUCACUGUCAAAAUUAGGUAAAAUGUUAGUUAUGUUCAUUAGCUACGCUUAUUUGUGUGGAAAAACACGAAGAAAAC